UCUUCUUUAGUAUAAUAAAGUACAUUUACUUUUCAUGUAAAAAGAAAAAAGAAGAU
rnacentral:tRNA from 1 species